GCUGCGGGGAGAUUCUACAGGCGUGUUUGAACGUUCCCAAUGCUGGAAGAAAAUGUCCUGAGUUGGUGUUUGUGAGUGGGUAUUUGGGUGGGUGACUCCGGAGGCCUGCAUCCUCCUGACGCUGGGAAACAUCCAGUGGAAGCUUCAUUUCGUUCACAGGUUUCGGUUAGCACAGUGAGGAUAAAGAGUUCACCAUGGCAAUAACGUCAACAUCAACCUCAUUUUUGGCUAAUAGUAGGAAAACCAGAGGUGUAAGAUCACUGUAUUGGUUUAUUUGAAACUGUGUAGCCAAGUUGGAUGCAUAGGAUUAAAGCAGGGCAUUUUCAUAUGACACACUUGUUUUAUUUUUCCAGAUUUUUCUUUUUUACAUAAAUAAACAAAAAAGUAAGGCAAGACACUAAAUCCAAUUAGAAAGGUUUGCAUGUUCAGUGAGACCAGCAGAUCUUCUGACUGCUGUCUGAUGCUCACAGAAGCAGGGCUCUCGUACUAAGUCCCACAUGUGUUUGCAAACAAAAUCAUGAUCCACUCUUGGAAUACACCUCCUAUUGUUCCUACGGCAGGUUCCAACAGGGGAUGCAGUGGCUGUGUCAACUCUAAGUUGAUAACAAGGUUAAAAAUGAUGUUUUACUCAAUUGUUGUCAUUUAUUAAUUGCAGAAAGUGUGAAAUUUAACAAAGUGAAUCAGGAGACCCUUCACUGUGACCUUUCACAUGAAACUCAAAUUCCUCUACAAAACAAAUAUGAUUUUCUUCAUUUGCUGAUUGGACAAUACUUGUCUACACAUGCUGUGUACUAGCUAAUAUCAAUGAAAAUUAAAUUCAUCCCUCAUUGUGCCUACUUUCACAGUUUAUAUUAUUAGACAAUAUAAUUAGUUUGACAUCUUGUUUUGAAAUGGAAGAAUCAUUCUCUUGCGAUCCCUACCUUCAGUUUGCCAAGGACUUUUUAAAGGUAAGAUAUAAAAGCAUAAUAAAGAUGUUUAACUUGCAACUUAGACUGUUUUUUAAAGGUUGUAUAAAACUAAACAUAUAUGACAAUGAUCAAAAUUGUUGACAUGUAUCUUUAGCUAAAUAAAAGCUUUCCAAUAUU